AGCAGUCGCCGCGGUAAAACGAACCGUGCGAACGUUAUUCGGAAUCACUGGGCUUAAAGCGCGUGUAGGCGGAUGGGAGCGUCGGCCUCUGAACUCCCCCGGCUCAACCGGGGAAGUGGAGCCGAAACGACCCGUCUGGAGGGACGUAGGGGGACCUGGAACUUCCGGUGGAGCGGUGAAAUGCGUUGAGAUCGGAAGGAACGCCCGUGGCGAAAGCGAGGUCCUGGACGUCUGCUGACGCUGAGACGCGAAAGCCAGGGGAGCGAACGGGAUUAGAUACCCGCGUAGUCCCUGUCUCUUAUU
rnacentral:rRNA from 1 species